rnacentral:rRNA from 1 species
CAGUCGCCGCGGGAAUACGUAGGGUGCGAGCGUUAAUCGGAUUUACUGGGCGUAAAGCGUGCGCAGGCGGCCCGUUAAGACAGGUGUGAAAUCCCUGGGCUCAACCUGGGAAUGGCGCUUGUGACUGCAAAGCUAGAGUGCGGCAGAGGGGGAUGGAAUUCCGCGUGUAGCAGUGAAAUGCGUAGAUAUGCGGAGGAACACCGAUGGCGAAGGCAAUCCCCUGGGCCUGCACUGACGCUCAUGCACGAAAGCGUGGGGAGCAAACAGGAUUAGAUACCCCCGUAGUCCCUGUCUCUUAUAC